rnacentral:rRNA from 13 species
GGGGCUUAACCCCGGAUCUGCGGUGGGUACGGGCAGACUAGAGUGCAGUAGGGGAGACUGGAAUUCCUGGUGUAGCGGUGAAAUGCGCAGAUAUCAGGAGGAACACCGAUGGCGAAGGCAGGUCUCUGGGCUGUUACUGACGCUGAGGAGCGAAAGCAUGGGGAGCGAACAGGAUUAGAUACCCUGGUAGUGCACGCCGUAAACG